AUUGAACGCUGGCGGCAGGCCUAACACAUGCAAGUCGAAUGGUAACAGGAAACAGCUUGCUGUUUCGCUGACGAGUGGCGGACGGGUGAGUAAUGUCUGGGAAACUGCCUGAUGGAGGGGGAUAACUACUGGAAACGGUAGCUAAUACCGCAUAACGUCGCAAGACCAAAGAGGGGGACCUUCGGGCCUCUUGCCAUCAGAUGUGCCCAGAUGGGAUUAGCUAGUAGGUGGGGUAACGGCUCACCUAGGCGACGAACCCUAGCUGGUCUGAGAGGAUGACCAGCCACACUGGAACUGAGACACGGUCCAGACUCCUACGGGAGGCAGCAGUGGGGAAUAUUGCACAAUGGGCGCAAGCCUGAUGCAGCCAUGCCGCGUGUAGGAAGAAGGCCUUCGGGUUGUAAAGUACUUUCAGCGGGGAGGAGGGGAGUAAAGUUAAUACCUUUGCUCAUUGACGUUACCCGCAGAAGAAGCACCGGCUAACUCCGUG
rnacentral:rRNA from 1 species